GUCCAGGGUAGCCUAGUGGUCAUGGCUUCUGCCUGUAAGCGGAAGGUCGUGGGUUCGAUUCCCUUCCCUUGACA
rnacentral:tRNA from 1 species